rnacentral:rRNA from 1 species
GUAUAAGAGACAGCAGUAGCCGCGGUAAUACGGAGGGUGCAAGCGUUAAUCGGAAUUACUGGGCGUAAAGCGCACGCAGGCGGUCUGACAAGUCAGAUGUGAAAUCCCCGGGCUUAACCUGGGAACUGCAUUUGAAACUGUCAGGCUGGAGUCUUGUAGAGGGGGGUGGAAUUCCAGGUGUAGCGGUGAAAUGCGUAGAGAUCUGGAGGAAUACCGGUGGCGAAGGCGGCCCCCUGGACAAAGACUGACGCUCAGGUGCGAAAGCGUGGGGAGCAAACAGGAUUAGAUACCCCUGUAGUCCCUGUCUCUUAUAC